rnacentral:rRNA from 1 species
GAUGAACGCUGGCGGCGUGCUUAACACAUGCAAGUCGAACGAAGCACUUUAUUUGAUUUCCUUCGGGACUGAUUAUUUUGUGACUGAGUGGCGGACGGGUGAGUAACGCGUGGGUAACCUGCCUUGUACAGGGGGAUAACAGUUGGAAACGGCUGCUAAUACCGCAUAAGCGCACGGCAUCGCAUGAUGCAGUGUGAAAGACUCCGGUGGUAUAAGAUGGACCCGCGUUGGAUUAGCUAGUUGGUGAGGUAACGGCCCACCAAGGCGACGAUCCAUAGCCGACCUGAGAGGGUGACCGGCCACAUUGGGACUGAGACACGGCCCAAACUCCUACGGGAGGCAGCAGUGGGGAAUAUUGCACAAUGGGCGAAAGCCUGAUGCAGCGACGCCGCGUGAGCGAAGAAGUAUUUCGGUAUGUAAAGCUCUAUCAGCAGGGAAGAUAAUGACGGUACCUGACUAAGAAGCACCGG